GGGGAUUUAGCUCAGUGGUAGAGCGUUUGCCUAGGAAGCGCAAGGCCCUGGGUUCGAUCCCCAGCUCCG
rfam:Rattus norvegicus chromosome 10, whole genome shotgun sequence.